AGGAACUGGCUGGAAGAUGGGGUGUGUGUGCGUAUAUGGGAGCGAGGAAAGCGCUGUAGGAAGCAUGCAGGCCGCUUUAUUUUACAGCUGUGGGAGUGGUGGACAAGGGCGGCGGCUCUGCGAGAAGCACGUGGGCGCGGCGGGCCGCCUCAGGGAUGGAGUAGGCUGUGGUCUUGCCAACUCCCGUUAUCAAAGGCCCAAGGACGCCAUUCACUCAGCCCCGGGCGGGCGUGGGUCUGGGGGCCGGAAACCCGAAGUCCUGUGGGUGCCGUGGAAUGCACGAGCAGCCGGCGGAGCAAACCUGCCCCAUAGAUUUUUCUAAACCGUUCGCCACAGAAACGCUACUCUGUCUUCUCUGACCGACUCUGUGCACUGCAGCCUUGCACAAAGAAAACAGGAGGUACUCCAAGUCUGAGAUACUGUUCCGACUAGGAAAGGGGUAGCUUCUGGUACCUGCAGCUCUCUCGGGGCAGGGUCCCGCGGGUCGUACCCACCUCCCCGCUCGAGUGCGGUCAAAACCCGGAGACCGGAUUACAUCCCAAUCCAGAAGUCUCAGGGCGCCCGCAGUUAGUUCAGGGCAUGCUCAGUCGCAGAGCAGGUUUUUGGGCUUGGAAGUAGGAAGCUUUUGCACCACACACCCACACUCUAGCUCAAAUUACCUCUCCCAGACUCUGCACUCAUUGGUCUCGGGGCGCGAGUCUGACACCCCUAAGUGUUGUUCAUUGGCUGCCGCCAAGGCUUUAUCAGUUUGGGGCGCUUCAUUGGCUAAAAAGUAGCCUCCGCUCGCGAUUGGUUAUUUAUAGAGAUUGAGCGGAGAGGCGGAGGCACAGCUGUUCUUUCUCCGUUGCUCCCCCACCCUCUGCCUCCCACUUCCCCAACCCUGGCGUUUUGAAGUAAAAGUGAAAAAAUAAGAGGCAUUUAGGCUGAGAGCUCAGAACUAAAUAUAGUUCUUUGUUGGUGUUUUCGAGAGGGUCUGACUCCUCGGUUUCCAGUCACGACUGCCCCUUAAAGGGAGCACAAAGGGCUAAUUACAGGUUUUGGUCCGCAAGAAACCGCAGAGUUGCCAAGUUUUUUUGCAGGGAGUGGGAGGGGGCGAGGAGCCGAAAUGGGCCACUUGGAAUUCGUUUCACCCGGAGGGGUAGGGGAGUGUCCAAGCUUGCUUCAGAGGAAGCGUCUUCGCUGGCGGGCCGGGCAAUCGCUAGACUUGGCUGGGCUGGCGCUCCCGGGAGGUGCAAGGGAGAUGCCCCGACUUGUUCCGACUCCCUCGCUCCUCGCUGAGGAGGGAUGUCAAGACCUGUCUGCAGGCUGAGCUCGGCGGCGGCGGGUGCGGGAUGGGGAGGGAGGCGGUGGAGCUGCGUCAGCGCUGGCUCCCCGUCCUGAUGUCACUGCUCCCUGGUUUCACCGUCCGCAUCGGAGGGUAAACCUGGGCAUGGCUAACACGGUUUCAGUUCCUAGUGCCGCCGUGACUCACGCUGCGUUUGCUAGUUAACCUCCAAACCCCUGGCCAAAGCAGCUUCCGUGCACGUCUGCAGCGUGAAGUCCUUGGGCACAGAACCGGGCGGGACGUGGGCUGCCCCUGAUGCCUUGGGUGGGGUGGGUGGUGCCCACACCCGCGCCUCACCCCAAUUUAGUAGAGAGAGGAGACUUUCACCUUGACUGUCAGAGUGCUUGGAUGUUAUGAAGCUUAUAUAAUUCUCCAGAAAAACCUCUCAGAGGCAAACUCGCCUAAGCUGGAGAGAACCCUGUCAACAUCCACCCAAUGUGUAAUGUCCACCAAGCGUUUUACAUAUACUGCCACUCCUCAUAAUAAUGAUUAUUUACCCAUUUUAAAGAUGAGGAAACUGAGGCUGUGAGAUGAUCAAUAAUUUGCCUGCGAUGCCACAACUAGAAAGUGGCCAACCUAAGAUUCCAACCCAGGGAUUUGCCUGCAGAGCCUAGUCUCAUAACCACUGGACCAUACUUACCCGUCACAUGAAUGUUCCGAAAACCAAAUACAGCAAGAAUGAGAGAAAUUGCACUGUUGCAUUAAAAAGAAUUUUCCUGCCGGGCGCAGUGACUCACGCCUGUAAUCUCAGCACUUGGGGAGGCCGAGGCGGGUGGAUCACGAGGUCAAGAGAUCAAGACCAUCCUCGCCAACAUGGUGAAACCCCGUCUCUACUAAAAAUACAAAAAAUUAGCCGGGUGUGGUGGCGGAUGCCUGUAGUCCCAGCUACUCAAGAAGCUGAGGCAGGAGAAUCACUUGGACCCUGGAGGCAGAGGUUGCAGUGAGCCGAGAUUUCGCCACUGCACUCCAGCCUGGCGACAUAAUGAGACUCUGUCUUAAAAAAAAAAAAAAAAGGAAUUUUCCUCUCACUUUCUUCUCACCACUACUAGAUUAAAGGAGCCCCCUUUUCUUCUGCAGGUGAGAGGUGACAGCGUGCUGGCAGUCCUCACAGCCCUCGCUCGCUCUCAGCGCCUCCUCUGCCUGGGCUCCCACUUCGGCGGCACUUUAGGAGCCCUUCAGCCCACCACUGCACUGUGGGAGCCCCUUUCUGGGCUGGCCAAGGCCGGGGCCGGCUCCCUCAGCUUGCAGGGAGGUGUGGAGAGAGAGGCGCGAGCGGGAACCGGGGCUGCGCGCGUGGCUUGAGGGCCAGCUGGAGUUCCGGGUGGGCGUGGGCUUGGCGGCCCAGCACUCGGAGCAGCCCCCUGCCGGUCCCGGGCAAUGAGGGGCUUAGCACCCAGGCCAGCGGCUGCGGAGGGUGUACUGGGUCCCCCAGCAGUGCCGGCCCACCGGUGCUGCACUCGAUUUCUCGCCGGGCAGGGCUCGGGACCUGCAGCCCACCAUGCCUGAGCCUCCCACCCCCUCCGUGGGCUCGUGUGCGGCCGGAGCCUCCCCUAGGAGCGCCGCCCCCUGCUCCAGGGCGCCCAGUCCCAUCGACCACCCAAGGGCUGAGGAGUGCCGGCGCACGGCGCGGGACUGGCAGGCAGCUCCACCUGCAGCCCCAUUGCGCGAUCCACUGGGUGAAGCCAGCUGGGCUUCUGAGUCUGGUGGGGAUGUGGAGAAGCUUUAUGUCUAGCUCAGGGAUUGUAAAUAUACCAAUCGGCACUCUGUAUCUAGCUCAAGGUUUGUAAACACACCAAUCAGCACCCCUGUCUAGCUCAGGGUUUGUGAAUGCAAUCGACACUCUGUAUCUAGCUACUCUGGUGGGGACUUGGAGAACCUUUGUGUGGACACUCUGUAUCUAGCUAAUCUGGUGGGGACGUGGAGAACCUUUAUAUCUAGCUCAGGGAUUGUAAACACACCAAUCAGCGCCCUGUCAAAACAGACCACUCAGCUCUACCAAUCAGCAGGAUGUGGGUGGGGCCAGAUAAGAGAAUAAAAGCAGGCUGCCCAUGCCAGGAGUGGCAACCUGCUCGGGUCCCAUUCCACACUAUGGGAGCUUUGUUCCUUCACUCUUUGCAAUAAAUCUUGCUGCUGCUCACUCUUUGGGUCCACACUGCCUUUAUGAGCUGUAACACUCACUGCGAAGGUCUGCAGCUUCACCACGAACCCACCGGGAGGAACGAACAACUCCAGAUGCGCCGCCUUAGGAGCUGUAACACUCGCCGCGAAGGUCCGUGGCUUCACUCCUGAGCCAGCGAGACCACGAAGCCCACCAGAAGGAAGAAAUUCCGAACACAUCCGAACAUCAGAAGGAACAAACUCUGGACACGCCACCUUUAGGAACUGUAACACUCACCGCGAGGAUCCGCGGCUUCAUUCUUGAAGUCAGUGAGACCAAGAACCCACUAAUUCCGGACACACAGGGACAGCAAUCCACUGCUUGCCUUGAUGUACGAUUGAAGCCUAUCACCCCUUCUGCAGCAGUGGCUCCAGAGAGCAUCAGUAAAGAUGGCAAGAUUGAAAUCCAAGCAACAGAAUUUCCACUGAAUAGAAAUUUCUGAGGAAAGUGUAAGGACAGGUGUGAGAAUUCUGGUGGCAAGGAUGAGGAAGCAUCCCCCUUCCCAAACAGGAAAGAAGAGCCAAGAGACCUGAAAAGGAGCUGGAGCCAAGAAGGUGAAAAGGUGAGAGUUCCCAUUGCAAAUAACCUUCUCUCUGUAAAUAAAAAUGGAAAGGCACCUGCUGAAAGAUGGGAGACCAUGUGUGAAUUUGGGAAUCUGAGUAAUAAUAAAGCUGUUCCUAACAGUGACUGUGCAGUGCAGCACAAAGUUGCCAGGCUGCUAAAUUUGGGUUACAGAAAUUUGUGAAGAUGCCAAUUCAGGUUUUUUUGUUUUUAUUAAGAAGGAUACUAGCAAUUCUUAAAUCUGUCAGAUCAGAUUAUCUUAAAAUUUCUGAAGGCUUUUUUUCCACACAAACAAAUAAAUAUUUAUAAAAUGAACUAUAUGCUCAUACCCUUAGUGAAAAUAUAUGCACAUCAAUUUAUGACUUGUGUAAGUCAAUUACUAAUUCAAUUACUAAUGGGAAAUUGGAUGAACUCAGUAAAACUGUCUUAACUAUGUCUCUUGAGUUUCUUUUUCUAUUACAUGCUAAAUUACAAUAAAACCUUGACUACCUAAACUCUCAGAGAUUCAGUUUUUUUUUUGUUUUGUUUUUUGGUUUUUUUUGAGUAGUUGAGUAUUUGUUUAGAAAACAUUGCUGUUGUCUGAGUUGUUCUGUCACAGUAAGAAAAAUAUUUAGGCCGGGCGUGGUGGCUCACGCCUGUAAUCUCAACACUUUGGGAGGCCAAGGUGGGUGGAUCACCUGAGGUCAGGAGUUAGAGACCAACCUGGCCAACAUGGUAAAACCCCAUCUCUACUAAAAAUACAAAAAUUAGCCAGGCAUGGUGGUGGGCACCUGUAAUCCCAGCUACUCGAGAGGCUGAGGCAGGAGAAUCACUUGAACCCGGGAGGUGGAUGUUGCAGUGAGCUGAGAUCGU
rnacentral:lncRNA from 10 species